AUUGAACGCUGGCGGCAUGCUUUACACAUGCAAGUCGAACGGUAACAGGCCGCAAGGUGCUGACGAGUGGCGAACGGGUGAGUAAUGCAUCGGAACGUGCCCAGUCGUGGGGGAUAACGCAGCGAAAGCUGCGCUAAUACCGCAUACGAUCUAUGGAUGAAAGCGGGGGACCGUAAGGCCUCGCGCGAUUGGAGCGGCCGAUGUCAGAUUAGGUAGUUGGUGGGGUAAAGGCUCACCAAGCCAACGAUCUGCAGCUGGUCUGAGAGGACGACCAGCCACACUGGGACUGAGACACGGCCCAGACUCCUACGGGAGGCAGCAGUGGGGAAUUUUGGACAAUGGGCGCAAGCCUGAUCCAGCAAUGCCGCGUGCAGGAAGAAGGCCUUCGGGUUGUAAACUGCUUUCGUACGGAACGAAACGGCUCUCUCUAAUACAGGGGGUUAAUGACGGUACCGUAAGAAUAAGCACCGGCUAACUACGUGCCAGCCGCCGCGGUAAUAC
rnacentral:rRNA from 1 species